rnacentral:rRNA from 1 species
AGGACGAACGCUGGCGGCGUGCUUCAUACAUGCAAGUCGAACGAGAAGCUGACUUCGGUCAGUGGAAAGUGGCGGACGGGUGAGUAAUAUGUAGAGAAUCUGCCCUUGAGUGGGGGACAACAGAGGGAAACUUCUGCUAAUACCCCAUAUGAGCUAACUUGAAAUAGUUAUCUUGAAAACUCCGGUGCUCAAGGAUGAGUCUGCAUCUGAUUAGCUAGUUGGCGGUGUAAUGGACCACCAAGGCGACGAUCAGUAGCUGGUUUGAGAGGAUGAUCAGCCACAAUGGGACUGAGACACGGCCCAUACUCCUACGGGAGGCAGCAGUAGGGAAUUUUGCGCAAUGGGCGAAAGCCCUGACGCAGCAACGCCGCGUGAACGAUUAAGCCCUUCGGGGUGUAAAGUUCUGUCAGUAGGGACGAAUUUUGACGGUACCUACAGAGGAAGCACCGGCUAACUCCGUGCCAGCCGCCGC